rnacentral:rRNA from 1 species
UGAUCCUGGCUCAGAUUGAACGCUGGCGGCAUGCCUUACACAUGCAAGUCGAACGGCAGCACGGGGGCAACCCUGGUGGCGAGUGGCGAACGGGUGAGUAAUACAUCGGAACGUGCCCGGAAGUGGGGGAUAACGUAGCGAAAGUUACGCUAAUACCGCAUAUUCUGUGAGCAGGAAAGCAGGGGAUCGCAAGACCUUGCGCUUUCGGAGCGGCCGAUGUCGGAUUAGCUAGUUGGUGAGGUAAAAGCUCACCAAGGCGACGAUCCGUAGCUGGUCUUAGAGGAUGAUCAGCCACACUGGGACUGAGACACGGCCCAGACUCCUACGGGAGGCAGCAGUGGGGAAUUUUGGACAAUGGGGGCAACCCUGAUCCAGCCAUGCCGCGUGAGUGAAGAAGGCCUUCGGGUUGUAAAGCUCUUUCGGACAGAAAGAAAUCGCAUCGGCUAAUACUCGAUGUGGAUGACGGUACUGUCAUAAGAAGCACCGGCUAACUACGUGCCAGCAGCCGCGGUAAUACGUAGGGUGCGAGCGUUAAUCGGAAUUACUGGGCAUAAAGCGUGCGCAGGCGGUUUUGAAAGACAGGCGUGAAAUCCCCGGGCUCAACCUGGGAACUGCGCUUGUGACUUCAAGACUAGAGUACGGCAGAGGGGGGUAGAAUUCCACGUGUAGCAGUGAAAUGCGUAGAGAUGUGGAGGAAUACCGAUGGCGAAGGCAGCCCCCUGGGCCAGUACUGACGCUCAUGCACGAAAGCGUG